rnacentral:rRNA from 1 species
AGCGUUAUCCGGAUUUAUUGGGUUUAAAGGGUCCGCAGGCGGGCUAGUAAGUCAGUGGUGAAAGCCUACAGCUUAACUGUAGAACUGCCGUUGAUACUGCUAGUCUUGAGUAUAGUUGAGGUAGCUGGAAUGAGUAGUGUAGCGGUGAAAUGCAUAGAUAUUACUCAGAACACCGAUUGCGAAGGCGGGUUACCAAGUUAUAACUGACGCUGAGGGACGAAAGCGUGGGGAGCGAACAGGAUUAGAUACCCUGGUAGUCCACGCCGUAAACGAUGCUAACUCGUUUUUGGGCUUUAGGGUUCAGAGACUAAGCGAAAGUGAUAAGUUAGCCACCUGGGGAGUACGACCGCAAGGUUGAAACUCAAAGGAAUUGACGGGGGCCCGCACAAGCGGUGGAUCAUGUGGUUUAAUUCGAUGAUACGCGAGGAACCUUACCAAGGCUUAAAUGGGAAUUGACAGCUGUAGAAAUACGGUUUUCUUCGGACAAUUUUCAAGGUGCUGCAUGGUUGUCGUCAGCUCGUGCCGUGAGGUGUUAGGUUAAGUCCUGCAACGAGCGCAACCCCUGUCACUAGUUGCCAUCAUUAAGUUGGGGACUCUAGUGAGACUGCCUACGCAAGUAGAGAGGAAGGUGGGGAUGACGUCAAAUCAUCACGGCCCUUACGCCUUGGGCCACACACGUGAUACAAUGGCCGGUACAGAGGGCAGCUACACUGCGAAGUGAUGCAAAUCUCGAAAGCCGGUCUCAGUUCGGAUUGGAGUCUGCAACUCGACUCUAUGAAGCUGGAAUCGCUAGUAAUCGCGCAUCAGCCAUGGCGCGGUGAAUACGUUCCCGGGCCUUGUACACACCGCCCGUCAAGCCAUGGAAGCUGGGGGUACCUGAAGUCGGUGACCGUAAAAGGAGCUGCCUAGGGUAAAACUAGUAACUAGGGCUAAGUCGUAACAAGGUAGCCGUACCGGAAGGUGCGGCUGGAACAUCUCAUUU